GACAAACGCUGGCGGGGUGCAUGAGACAUGCAAGUCGAACGGGGAUGAUCGGGCUUGCUCGAUCAACCUAGUGGCGGACGGCUGAGUAACGCGUAGGUGACCUACCCGGAAGUGGGGAAUAACUGCACGAAAGGGUGGCUAAUACCGCAUGUGGUCGGCGGAUCGGUUCGGCGUCCAAGGCCGAUAGGCGCUUCCGGAGGGGCCUGCGUCCGAUUAGCUAGUUGGCGAGGUAACGGAUCACCAAGGCGACGAUCGGUAGCUGGUCUGAGAGGAUGAUCAGCCAGACUGGGACUGAGAACGGCCCAGACUCCUACGGGGGGUAGCAGUAGGGAAUUUUGCCCAAUGGACGAAAGUCUGAGGAAGCAACGCCGCGUGAGAGAUGAAGGCCUUCGGGUCCUAAACCUCUUUUCCCAGGGAAGAUCCAAGACGGUACCUGGAGAAUAAGACAGGGCUAACUCCGUG
rnacentral:rRNA from 1 species